rnacentral:rRNA from 1 species
UAGCGGAGGAAAAGAAACCAACAGGGAUUGCCCUAGUAACGGCGAGUGAAGCGGCAACAGCUCAAAUUUGAAAUCUGGCUCUUUCAGAGUCCGAGUUGUAAUUUGCAGAGGGCGCUUUGGCGUUGGCAGCGGUCCAAGUUCUUUGGAACAGGACGUCACAGAGGGUGAGAAUCCCGUACGUGGUCGCUAGCCUUCGCCGUGUAAAGCCCCUUCGACGAGUCGAGUUGUUUGGGAAUGCAGCUCUAAAUGGGAGGUAAAUUUCUUCUAAAGCUAAAUACUGGCCAGAGACCGAUAGCGCACAAGUAGAGUGAUCGAAAGAUGAAAAGCACUUUGGAAAGAGAGUCAAAUAGCACGUGAAAUUGUUGAAAGGGAAGCGCUUGCAGCCAGACUUGCCUGUAGUUGCUUAUCUGGACUUUUGUCCAGUGCACUCUUCUGCGGGCAGGCCAGCAUCAGUUUGGGCGGUUGGAUAAAGGUCUCUGUCAUGUACCUCCUUUCGGGGAGGCCUUAUAGGGGAGACGACAUGCAACCAGCCUGGACUGAGGUCCGCGCAUCUGCUAGGAUGCUGGCGUAAUGGCUGUAAGCGGCCCGUCUUGAAACACGGACCAAGGAGUCUAACAUCUAUGCGAGUGUUUGGGUGUCAAGCCCAGACGCGUAAUGAAAGUGAACGGAGGUGGGAACCUUUUAGGUGCACCAUCGACCGAUCCUGAUGUCUUCGGAAGGAUUUGAGUAAGAGCAUAGCUGUUGGGACCCGAAAGAUGGUGAACUAUGCUUGAAUAGGGUGAAGCCAGAGGAAACUCUGGUGGAGGCUCGCAGCGGUUCUGACGUGCAAAUCGAUCGUCAAAUUUGGGCAUAGGGGCGAAAGACUAAUCGAACUAUCUAGUAGCUGGUUCCUGCCGAU